UUGCUAAUGUGUUCUUGGAUGAAUGCAAGACUGCAGAAGUCUCGGAAACAGGCCCGGAGAAAUUUGUUUGGCUCGAAGAGGACGAGGAAGGUAAUCCUCUCCCAAAAAGGAGUAGAACGGGGGAGGAGCGCAAACGUGGUUCAUCCACAGAAGCACGGACCCAUCAUGUGCUCCAUCUUCUAGUGGACAACAGAGAAUGACUGGGACCAUUCAAGACAUAG